ACACCUCAACUCUCAUGGUUUGCCAUGAUGAGCUUGGACUCUGGGGGUUUUGCUGGCCUGCGGUCAGCUCCCCUCAAAUGGAUCAGCCUCCCAGUGUUUGGUGGCAUCACAGGUGUGAUAACUAUCUACGCUUGCGAUUGCCUGCCAGGUAACCUUUGGCAACAAAGGUUCGCUGGGGCUCACAAACGUCUCUCCUCAGUAGAGACAACUUUUUGAAC
rnacentral:misc_RNA from 1 species